UACGUAGGGGGCAAGCGUUGUCCGGAAUUAUUGGGCGUAAAGAGCUCGUAGGCGGUCUGUCGCGUCGAUCGUGAAAACUUGGGGCUUAACCCUGAGCUUGCGGUCGAUACGGGCAUGACUGGAGUUCGGCAGGGGAGACUGGAAUUCCUGGUGUAGCGGUGAAAUGCGCAGAUAUCAGGAGGAACACCGGUGGCGAAGGCGGGUCUCUGGGCCGAUACUGACGCUGAGGAGCGAAAGCGUGGGGAGCGAACAGG
rnacentral:rRNA from 1 species